GACGUAGGGCGCGAGCGUUGUCCGGAUUUAUUGGGCGUAAAGAGCUCGUAGGCGGCUUGUCGCGUCGUCUGUGAAAUCCCGCGGCUCAACUGCGGGCUGGCAGUCGAUACGGGCAGGCUGGAGUUCGGUAGGGGAGACUGGAAUUCCUGGUGUAGCGGUGAAAUGCGCAGAUAUCAGGAGGAACACCGGUGGCGAAGGCGGGUCUCUGGGCCGAUACUGACGCUGAGGGACGAAAGCUAGGGGAGCGAAUGGG
rnacentral:rRNA from 1 species